rnacentral:misc_RNA from 1 species
AACGCAAAUUGCACUCUCUUCGGAGAGUAUGCCUGUUUGAGGGUCAGUAUUAAUAAAAAUCGGCGUGUUGCUCUUUUGUGACACACCGGAGUUUGGGUUAUCUUAUAACGAUACCUUUCGAGGUGUUUUAAGAGGCUUAAAAUUGACCUUUUUUGCGCAUUUUUAGACGUACAUAAAUUUUUUUAUUUCGUUUAUUCUAAUGCCAAAAUCUAUUAGAUGCGACCUUGUCGUGUGGUUCCGUGUCUAUAAAUUUUUUCAUGAUUUGACCUCAAAUCAGGUAGGAACACCCGCUGAACUUAA